rnacentral:rRNA from 1 species
UACGGGGGGGGGCAAGCGUUGUUCGGAAUUACUGGGCGUAAAGGGCUCGUAGGCGGCCAACUAAGUCAGACGUGAAAUCCCUCGGCUUAACCGGGGAACUGCAUCUGAUACUGGAUGGCUUGAGUUCGGGAGAGGGAUGCGGAAUUCCUGGUGUAGCGGUGAAAUGCGCAGAUAUCAGGAGGAACACCGGUGGCGAAGGCGGGUCUCUGGGCCGAUACUGACGCUGAGGAGCGAAAGCGUGGGGAGCAAACAGG